UUGGCGCUUAAUAAUCGUCAAUCGAUGCUGUUCUUCUCCUGCUGCUGCUGCUUCUUCUGCAUCAGCUUUUAAUGUCUUGUGUUGUUUAAUGCGAGUAGUGAUUAGUCUACCUAGGAUCCAACUUCUCCUUGACCCAGGCCUUGUUUACUUCCUAAUUUGGGAGUGCCAAAGUUGGGAGUUUGUCAUAAAUGCAUAACUGUAGCAUUUCGUUUGUAUUUGUAAAUUAUUGUCCAAAAAUUGACUAAUUAGGUUCAAAAGAUUCGUCUCGCAAAGUACAACAAAACUGUGCAGUUAGUUUUUGAUUUCAUCUACAUUUAGUACUCCAUGCAUGUAUCGCAAGUUUGAUGUGAUGGGGAAUCUUUUUUUUGCAUAGUGUCAAAGUUGGGAUUUUGGUGGAAACUAAACAUGGGCCAUGUUUAGUUACUCCCAACUUCCAACUUUGACACUAUGCAAAAAGAAGAUUCCCCAUCACAUCAAACUUGCGGUACAUGCAUGGAGUACUAAAUGUAGAUAAAAUUAAAAAGUAAUUGCACAGUUUUGUUGUACUUUACGAGACGAAUCUUUUGAGCCUAAUUAGUCAAUAUUUGGACAAUAAUUCACAAAUACAAACGAAACGCUACAGUGUGCUACAGUGCUGUAACAGUAAUUUGGCACCUCCCAAAUUGGCCAACUAAACAAGGCCAUGGCCCCAAUGUGGAUAAGCUGGAUCUGUGCAGCACGUGCGCAGCUGAUUUGUGCAUCGGGG
rnacentral:lncRNA from 1 species